CUGAUGACGUCAGAUUUCCCGCGUCUGCGCAGAGCGAGCCUGAACUACAGAACAACAGCAGAAGAGAAACAAAACAAAGAGAAAAGACGAGCUUCAUCAUGGCUGGACACUCUAAUCCAGAUCAGUCCAGUGGGGAGGAGCUGUUCGUAUCUGAAGAGGAGGACAGAGGCGGAUCUGAGCUGAGACUCGUCCUGAUUGGACGCACAGGCUCGGGAAAAAGCGCCACAGGAAACACCAUAUUAGGGCGACGCCACUUCCUGUCUGCGCUGAGGGCGGGGUCAGUAACGCGUGUGUGUGAGUGUGCGGAGGUGUGUGAGGAUGAGGAGUUCGGCGGGGUGAGGAGGAGGAUUCUGGUGGUGGACAUGCCCGGGUUCGGGGACACCCGUCUGGACGCCGACAGCCUCCACGCUGAGAUCGCUAAAUGCGUUUCGCUAACGGCGCCAGGGCCGCACGCGUUCCUGCUGGUGAUUCCGCUGGGCCGCUACACUGCAGAUGAAGAGCGAGCGGUGGUGCAGAUGUGCAGUGUGUUCGGCCAGGAGGCGCUACGCCACACGCUGGUGCUGUUCACACACGGAGACGCGCUGGAGGACGCCGGCGGGUUCGAGAGUUUCCUGGAGGACGAUUCCUCACGCCUGAAGCUGCUGCUGCACCGCUGCGGGGGGCGCUACUGCAUCAUCAACAACAGAGCGCCGCAGGACCGCGCGCAGGUAAGCACGCUGCUGCAGAGGGUGCAGGCGAUGGUGGCAGACGCAGGAGGACUGUGUUACACCAACAGUGUGUUCCUGCAGGCCGAGCACGCCGUCCGGGACGAGCAGCAACGGCGCAUGCAGCGGUGGCGCAGCCGCAGGGGAGCCGGAAUGGCGGUCAGCAGACGGCAGGCACUGCGCUCCGCUCUGAGCCGCAUCCGCAUGGAAGCCGCACUCUCUGGGAAGGUUCUGCAGCGCGUCAAGGUGCUGGUCGCAGCCGGUGCUGCAGGAAUGGCGGUCGGGGCCGUAUUCGGAGCUGCAGCUCCUCUGGCGGUGGCAGCAGGGGCUUCUGUGAUUGGUGGAGGAUCAGUGGGGUUAGCAGGAGUCUCCGCUGGCGGCGCAGGCGUAGGCAAAGCAUUCGGUGCAAUAGUUGCAGCUGCGUCCGGGAAGACCGCAGUGGCUCUGGGUGCGACAGCAGGUGGGGUAUUAGGAGGGUCAGUGGGGGCGCUGGCAGGUGCUGAGGCUGUGGGGCCGCGGGACGCUGCAGUAGAGGCUGCGCAGCAGGUGGGAGUGAUUGGUGCUGCAACGGUGGGCGUGGCUACAGGAGUGGGUGGUGCCAUCGGAGCAGGAGCAGUGAUGGGGGCUUUGCUAGACAGCGCAGCAGUAAGUGCUCUUAGUGGGGCCAGCGUUGCAGCGGUCACACCUAGUGCAGUGGCCACCGGGGGCAGUGUUGCAGCGGUCGCACCUAGUGCAGUGACCACCGGGGGCAGUGUUGCAACGGUCGCACCUAGUGUAGUGGCCACCGGGGGCAGUGUUGUCACCUCUUCAGCUGUUCUGGACGGCAUUGGAACAACUGCGCGCAUUCUGAGUGAGAUCGGCAGAGCGGCAGCAGGAAUCGCGCUGGCCGGAGGGAUGGUUAUUAAAGUGGUGAAGGAGAAAGUUCGUUCUGGAAGCGGAGUUGCAGAGAACAGUUACACAGAGCGAAACUCCUACGAGAUCUACUGGAACAAAUGAACAGUGUGCUGUUAAUGGAGUGCAGUGUUAUUGAUUAUGGACGCUCUCCAGCUGUUUGCACUUAUUGGCCUCUAAGCCUGCGACGCCAGGAAUGAGGAGCGUCUCUAAACCCAGCAGAAUCUCUCAGACGGAGCUGCAGCAGUGCUUUAUUUCUCAUUUAUACAUGUGUGUUUCUACAUAGAGGGUAAAUGAAGUGUUUUUAUCUACUAAUAUAAGGCUGUUUAAUCAGCAGCUCAUUUGUGGACAGCUGUAAUGAACAAAGACUGAAGGUGAACUGCUGAAUAUUACUGUGGAUGACCUGCAGUGUUGGAGCUCAGCAGGUUUGGGGGGGUUCACACGUGUUCAGAUGUGUUUAAGCGAACAUGCUGAACGUGCCAGCGAUCUAAAAUAAACACCUCUUCUGAGAUCCC